UAGGGAAUCUUGGACAAUGGGCGAAAGCCUGAUCCAGCCAUGCCGCGUGAAUGACGAAGGCCUUAGGGUUGUAAAAUUCUUUCACCAGGGAAGAUAAUGACGGUACCUGGAGAAGAAGCCCCGGCUAACUCCGUGCCAGCAGCCGCGGUAAUACGGAGGGGGCUAGCGUUGUUCGGAAUUACUGGGCGUAAAGCGGGUGUAGGCGGACCGGUCAGUCAGAGGUGAAAGCCCAGGGCUCAACCUUGGAAUAGCCUUUGAUACUGCCGGUCUUGAGUCUGGGAGAGGUGAGCGGAAUUCCGAGUGUAGAGGUGAAAUUCGUAGAUAUUCGGAGGAACACCAGAGGCGAAGGCGGCUCACUGGACCAGUACUGACGCUGAGAUCCGAAAGCGUGGGGAGCAAACAGGAUUAGAUACCCCCGUAGUCC
rnacentral:rRNA from 1 species